CGAGCGGACAGAUGGGAGCUUGCUCCCUGAUGUUAGCGGCGGACGGGUGAGUAACACGUGGGUAACCUGCCUGUAAGACUGGGAUAACUCCGGGAAACCGGGGCUAAUACCGGAUGGUUGUUUGAACCGCAUGGUUCAAACAUAAAAGGUGGCUUCGGCUACCACUUACAGAUGGACCCGCGGCGCAUUAGCUAGUUGGUGAGGUAACGGCUCACCAAGGCAACGAUGCGUAGCCGACCUGAGAGGGUGAUCGGCCACACUGGGACUGAGACACGGCCCAGACUCCUACGGGAGGCAGCAGUAGGGAAUCUUCCGCAAUGGACGAAAGUCUGACGGAGCAACGCCGCGUGAGUGAUGAAGGUUUUCGGAUCGUAAAGCUCUGUUGUUAGGGAAGAACAAGUACCGUUCGAAUAGGGCGGUACCUUGACGGUACCUAACCAGAAAGCCACGGCUAACUACGUGCCAGCAGCCGCGGUAAUACGUAGGUGGCAAGCGUUGUCCGGAAUUAUUGGGCGUAAAGGGCUCGCAGGCGGUUUCUUAAGUCUGAUGUGAAAGCCCCCGGCUCAACCGGGGAGGGUCAUUGGAAACUGGGGAACUUGAGUGCAGAAGAGGAGAGUGGAAUUCCACGUGUAGCGGUGAAAUGCGUAGAGAUGUGGAGGAACACCAGUGGCGAAGGCGACUCUCUGGUCUGUAACUGACGCUGAGGAGCGAAAGCGUGGG
rnacentral:rRNA from 1 species